rnacentral:lncRNA from 1 species
GAUCUUAUAAAGCUCAACCAUGUACUUAUAGCGCUACAGUUGGAGGCCCCCGGGUGCGUCAAAGGCUUUUGGUGGAGGUCUUACAAUAGAUGGAAAUGGCAUAUGAGCUAGAGGUUUUAUAGCUCCCUAUUGAAAGUUAUGAAGCUGGUAAACCUCUUCUAGGCGUCACUAAUGUGCCUGCGGAAUAUGACAACUUGGAAGUGGUUAAGCUCAUUAUUUCG